CUUUCGUUUUCUCUCUCCUCCCGAGAGUUCUUCCCUCUCUCGUGAAAAUUAUCGCAGCUCCUUUCCCUUUGUUGCAGAGAGCCCAUUCUUAGUAGAGAGGUAUUACUGAAUCCUUAAUUCCUAAGGAGACAGAGAUCAAAGACUGGACAAUGAAUUGAACCUCUAGACAUGAGCGUGAAUGCCUGUCGGGUUUUGGGUGGAAGCCCAUCUCCCUUUAGCGGAGGAUCGUUCUCUGGCUGACUGGUUCGGCCGGGGAUGGUCUUGAGGUUGUCUUGAGGACCGCAAUUCUUUUGGGUGCCACUCAGAGAGCGGCGGGAGCUCUUCCUUGACAAACAGCGAGCAGGCAAAACCAGUGAUCGGAGCUAUUCUUGUUGGCAUUAAAGAAGACUGGUCACUGUCUGCUCACAGGGGUGAACCGACAGAGUGAAAGUUUUCUAGACUUCAGACGAGUCUUCCUCUGUGCUCAAGCCCAAGUCACCUCUCUGCCAUCAACAGGAGGAAGACGCUAGGGAUCCUAACAUUGGGUGUUAGCUGCUCAUCGGCAGAGAAGAUUUCCGUCACUCAAUUUUAAGGGUUUUAAAAGAAAGAAGGAAUGCUCAACAAGAGCAUAAGAAGAUCAUAUGAGGCAAAAACCAUCAAGCUUCAAGCAGUGAGUCAUUAUAGAGCAAGAAAGGGAAACCAGGAAUGACAACGAUGAAGCCACCACCAUCAUACAAACCAGCGAUGGGUCAACGCAUAUGAUUGUCGUUCAUGAACAAGUCCAUUGCAGAAACCUGACGACUGGGCAUCAACAAACUACACUUGUGGGGAAGUGGAAACCCAAGAUUAAAAUUCAUGCGGUCAAGAUCAUGACCUGGAAGAGAAACUUCUUCAUAAAUAUAAUGGUUACUUGAUUAGCUAGAAACAAGAUUUCUCCAAGAAGAAGAAGAAAAGGAAGCUGCCAAAAGAAGCCAGUUAGAUGCUCUUGACUAACACAAUUUUCACUACAAGUGGCCAUAUCCAAUAGUUAUAUUAGAUCAAGAACUUAAGUGAAGGCAUUUGGGAGACCUACAAGGAUGAAAAUGAUGAACCAGAUUAGCUGUCUUCUCCAAAGGAUUUUCCACACAAUGGCCCUUCCUUCUAUCGCAUAGUGUUUAUGCUCGGCAUUUGACAAAAGUAGCAUAUGAGCAAAAAUUUAUCAGCCUUGGAGAGGAUUUCAAGUGAUCAUUUAGGUACUGAACUGAAACCUUGCCAUGUUGGGGUCUUCGUUAUGUUGUAGAUGAGUAGAAGGGAUUAUCAUAACCAAGUGACGACUGAUGAGUGACACAAUUAAACGACUGUGAGCACAAAGAUUGAGUUGGUUCAUCUCAACAAAAGGUCUACUAAUAGCGAUCUAAUAAAGAGAUUGAGAUGGAGCAGCGACCUCAUUCACAUUGCCCGGCAUGAGAAGAUUGUAUGGCUCCAUAGAUUUUGCCACCCAAAUGUUUUAUCAUUUCAAGGGGCAGAUUCUUUCCUCUUAAUUUGUCUAUCAUUGUUUACUUACUAAAUGUUUGCAUUUGCUAAGUUUAUCUGCAAAAUUUGGUGUUCUUGUAAUUUAGUUUUUGGUGACAGAGCUAUGAUCAGUCAGUUCUUUCAAAAAAGUGUUUGCAUCUAAAGCAUGUUUUCUACCAUAUGAACUAUAGAAUUAUAGUGUCUUGUUCUUGAUACUUUCUGAUAA